rnacentral:lncRNA from 1 species
AUGGCUCCUAUGGGGGUGGCGCACCUUGACCCCCACAGUAUGGAGGCCAUCGACAGCUCGAGCUCAGUGGUCAUCAAGGAGGAUGAGGACGAUACGGUGGAGCACGAUGAUGGGUUUAAGCGGAGAGCAGUAUGUGGUGGCAGCAGUAGCGCGGCAGGGGGUGGAGGCUGGAAGGUGUGGCGCGGGGAGGAGCAUCACGACUUGUGGCAGAUCAAGGACCGUCGUCGCGGAGCUACUUCCAUAUCCACUGGCAUCGUCGUCAGGUCACCUUCCCCUGAAGUCAAGCACGCCCUGCAUCUAGACACGACGCUCACCCACGAUACGGAGAGGAGGCACACCCUCAUCGACCUAAAUCUAAUGUCGAGCAAUCUCAGGGCGGCGGACGACGAAUUCCUUAUGCAGGGUCAACAAGAAAGGAUAGUGUAGUGACUCGCGG